rnacentral:tRNA from 1 species
GCGUCCAUGGAGUAGUAGUCAACUCGUUCCCCUCGCAUAAAUCGGGCACGGGAAAGACCCGGGUGCAAGUCCCGGUGGGUGCU